CUAAGCCUAGGAUAGGACCGUGUUUCCUUGGGAAGAGCAGCCUGACCAGCCACUGGACCUACACAGAAGGCCCAGACUUAGGACCAACGUCGCUCCGCUCAAGGGCCUUGGAACUGUUAGGUGAUCUAGGAGGUGACCAUUGCUAUGCCAUACACCGGGCUGGCCUGCCUCAAGAUCCGGCAGCUUAACGAGAAUUUCGAUACCAUGCUCUUCCUUCCAGGUGCUCACGGCAGCCAGUAGAAAGAACAGAGCAAAUCCAAGGCCUCACCUGUCCUGACCACCCCAAAGUCAAAUAGCAUCUCCAGGGACAGUCUCUUAGGGAAGUG